rnacentral:misc_RNA from 1 species
ACAAACUUGGUCAUUUAGAGGAAGUAAAAGUCGUAACAAGGUAACCGUAGGUGAACCUGCGGUUGGAUCAUUACUGAAUUGCGGUAAAAGUUGUGAACCCCUUUCGUGUGAACUGUUAUUAUUUCUUUGGUGGCCCACAAAACAUGUCGGAGCGUUUUUUUUUUAUACUUGCUCGCUUGACCGAGGUCUUGGGAGUAUGGUCAUAUAGAAAAGACGCGACUUCGGGCCACCUAUUUGUAUUAAAUUCUUUGUUUAACGUAUUUUUUGUCUUUGUAUGAGUUGAGUCUCUAAUAAAACAAAAAACAACUUUUGACAAUGGAUCUCUUGGCUCUUGCAUCGAUGAAGAACGCAGC